AUUCAGAANAAAUUUUGCCUCAGAUUUGUGUCAUUAUAACAUUUUUUGUUUUUUCUUGCUUUAAUAAACGUAAUACUGACACGAUUCUUAUAUGCAGAGCAUUCCUUCCUGAUAAAUUAUAACUUCCUUAUAGUCUCGAAAUUCAGAACGGCUAUAAUUACGUUACAAGCGGUUUUACAGUUUCAUUUUUAAAACCAGUGU